GUAGGGAAUAUUAGAAAUGGACGAAAGUCUGAUCUAGCAACACCGCGUGUGCGAAGAAGGCCUUCGGGUCGUAAAGCACUUUUUGGAAGGAAUAGGAAGGAAUGUACUUCCAGAAUAAGUCUCGGCUAACUACGUGCCAGCAGCCGCGGUAACACGUAGGAGGCAAACGUUAUCCGGAUUUACUGGGCGUAAAGCGCGUGUAGGUGGUACUGUAAGUAGGGCGUGAAAGCUCCUGGCUCAACUGGGAGAGGCCGUUCUAAACUACAGAACUAGAGGAUGGUAGAGGGAGGUGGAAUUCCAGGUGUAGCGGUUGAAUGCGCAGAUAUCUGGAGGAACACCGGUGGCGAAGGCGGCCUCCUGGACCAUUCCUGACACUCAGACGCGAAAGCUAGGGUAGCAAACGGGAUUAGAAACCCGGGUAGUCC
rnacentral:rRNA from 1 species